rnacentral:snoRNA from 1 species
UUGCAAGGAUGCUUAAUCAUCUGAUUUAAUGAGCCUGAUGGUCUUGACAACCAAAAUGCUGUCAACUUUGAUUACUGA